UACAGAGGUCUCAAGCGUUGUUCGGAUUCAUUGGGCGUAAAGGGUGCGUAGGCGGCGCGGUAAGUCGGGUGUGAAAUCUCGGAGCUUAACUCCGAAACUGCAUUCGAUACUGCCGUGCUUGAGGACUGGAGAGGAGACUGGAAUUUACGGUGUAGCGGUGAAAUGCGUAGAUAUCGUAAGGAAGACCAGUGGCGAAGGCGGCUCUCUGGACCGGUUCUGACGCUCAGGCGCGAAAGCGUGGGGAGCGAUCCGG
rnacentral:rRNA from 1 species